GCCGAAGUGGCGGAACGGUAGACGCGGUGGUCUCAAACACCAUUGUCCCUAAAGGACGUGUGAGUUCGAAUCUCACCUUCGGCA
rnacentral:tRNA from 2 species